UCAGGAAGCUAGACCUGAACCAGGACGGAGUGAUCACCAUCGAGGAGUUCCUGGAGUCGUGCCUCAAAGAUGACGUCAUCACCAGAUCACUGCAAAUGUUCGACACAGGACUAUGACGGCAAACUGAUGCGGCGCUCACGCCAACCCCCAACAGGACCGUAGCCAAGCGUCUCCGCGGCCGCAGCGUCCACCGUCGCUGUCAAUGCGGCCGAUCAGCCGGGCUGCUACGCGCGGCGGCCGAUUGGCUGCGCCCGCGCCGCCUCUCGCCCUACAUAGCGGCCCUCGAUCACUUCUACAGCCGUGUCGUCAGACCUCGCUUGAGAAGUGUGCUGUUACUCCAGUUUUAACUUGAAGGUCAUUUUUGAAAGGAUUCGUGACUCUUAAGACGUAUAUAAAUGUCAUUUUUUUUGUCUGUUAUGUAUAAGUUUAAACCCGUCUGCCAAAUGCGUAAGAAUUUACAGAUUUAAUAAUUAAAUUCGAUAUUUGCCAAUGGUUAAUUUAUUACCCUCACACUCAGAGACAUUUAAUGAUUACUUAAGUCACUCCUCAGUGACGGAUUGUCAAAGAAAUACUUCACUAAGGAAUGGCUUAAGUAACCAUUAAAUGUCUCUGAGUGUGUCCAUUAGAGUCUUUUUUAUGGUAUGCUACAAAAAAAUACUUUUUAAGAACUGAUAAAUCUGAAAUAGCAAAAUACAGAUGUCAGCACAAUCAACGUACCCCAAUCUGUCAAAUGUCUUCAAUAGAGUUUCAACCUUAUCACAAUAGUGAAAGGUUCGUUUUUGAUUGCUAAAAUUUGACAGAUUCGUAUAGGUUGACCUGCUGGCGUUUGUACCAUAAAUAUGUUAAGAUAUCUAACUGAAAAGUGACCUCAAAAAUGAAUGAUAUUAAAUUAACAAAAAUUGUUAGCUGGUAAUACAAGCCCUAAACUCAUAACUCAUACGGCCUCACUACAAAAACUUAAACAUCUGUUGAACACUUGACUGCAAAACGGAUACUUCAACGUAAUAAGUUGUAAUUUUUUAGACAAGUGUUCAACAGACGUUUAAAAGUUUUUGUGAUAACACGGAUAUUGUACCUUUGUUUUUAAAUU